rnacentral:lncRNA from 1 species
AAGGAGAGUCACGUGGGCGAUCCACGUGCACGCGAUUGAAUGACUGAGGUCCAUUCCCGCUCGCACGGACGACCCAUAGUGAAUCAUGCAUGGGCGGCCUAAAUUGGAUCGUGUUGAACGAUCCAGAUUCACUCCCUAUUUAAUCGCGAUUGGACGGUCUAAAUUAAAAGCGGAUAGAUAUAAAUAACUCCAUCCGUACCCAAACCCUAACCCUAGCUGCCAGAACCCUUCGCCGGAGAAGACAACCCAGCCGCCAGGGAGCU